AGAGGUGAGAAAGAUGGGACAGAGAGGGGGCAGAGAGAUGGAGAAUUGAGCUCCAUUUUUAACUUAACAUCAUACAUAUUUGCUUUGCAACGCCUUAAAGAAUACCUUCAGUUCCAAAGACAGCAAAAUGCCCCCAUGACAACUUUACACAUUCAAAAAUGUUUUUGUUCUGAGGGAGUGUCUCAUACAUACAGCGAUGAUGGACAUUUCAUUUGAUUCUGAUAAAAAAAUAUACAUUAAAUGUAGUGAGAAAGCUCGGGGAUAGCAUCACAGUCAUCUCUACAUAAGGUGCAAUUGACUUCACAGCGCUACAGCAGAAGACACCGACUCCUCCCCUCACGUUACCUCUAUGAACGUGCAUGCGCACAGCAUGGAGCUAUUUCUAUUGUGCUGAGUUGUGGAAACAAGAUAACUGGCAUCAAAUGUUGCUGCCUGGAUCUGCUCUGAGUAUCAGCUUUACCGAUGAAAAAGAUCACUGACUAUCAACUGAUAACAAGAACUUCUCCAUGAGGAUUUGUGGUUAAAUGGAAUCAAAAUGACAGUGGAAGGUCUGGAGUCUCAGUCUGAAGUCCUGCAGCAAAGUUUCCCUGUCCCAUCUGUCUGUCUCCGCUGUGACAUUGUGUGUGUCGUGUCUGUGUGGAUAUACGCUGUGCCUCUACGAUUUCUCCAUAAUGAAAUGUCACCUGUCAGUCAAAACUGGGCUUUUUAACUACAUACUGUCCAAGUGAUUGUGUGAGAGUGUAUGCUUGUGUGUGUAUGUGUGACACCAUAGAGACUGACAGCUGGGCUGAGGUGUCACACUAGAAGCCUUCUUCUCAUCCCCAGCGGUCCCACUUUGUAACAGCUCACCUGCAUGACGAGGCUCGAGGUGAUGUCUGCAGCAAUACCAAUCAAAUUCAUAUUUUGGAUUUUUAUUGACCUUACUUAGACUACAAUAAAAUAUACAAGAGAAGAUUGAGUGAGACAGACGUUGGCGAGGCCAAACUGAAGCCCACUGUGGCGACUUUGUACUGUAGUUUUUUAGGCUGCAUGUACCUACAGUGGCUGUCGGAUUUAUGCCAUGGUUGAAAAUGUAGUCAGAUCUGUAAGUAGAUGUAGGAAUACCACAAUUUCAAAACACUACAUUACAGGUGAAAGUCAAAAUUUUACUCAAGUAAAGCUACAGUACAGGAAAAAGUACUCAUUAUCCAGGAAUAGUUGCUGUUAUAUAUACUUAUAUUGUAUAAUAAUUAUUAUUAUUAUUAUUACAUUAUUAUACAUUAUAAUUUUUUUUUUGGAAAUCGUAAUCUGCAAAGAAACAAACUAAAACUGUCAAAUAAAUGUAGUGGAGUAAAGUAUAGUAGCAAAAAGUAAUGUAAUGUGAAGUACACAAGCACAGUUCUGUAUUGGUGUAAAUGUUCGUAUGAUCCUUUCCACCACUGGGUUUGUGUACAGGAGCCAACUUAAGUGGAGGAAAUAAUUUUCAGUGCAGCACAAUACACCAGGCAUUUUUUUCACAGCAGACAUUUUGAUUAGUCAUAUUAGGAUUAGCACAGGUGUUACUAAUUACAUUAAGGGACACUUUCCUAUAGAAAGUGUCCCAGCAAGCCCUGACAGUGUGACUGUGAGUCAUUCAUUUUAUCAUUUACACCUGCGCUUUCCCCACUGUGACACGUUAAAAUAUGUUCCAUGAAAAAGGCGUGCGGCCAACAGCAGUAUCCAUUAAUAAAUAGUCAAAGUAUUUUA